rnacentral:SRP_RNA from 1 species
GCUGGGCGUGGUGGUGCAUGCCUGUAAUCCCAGUUACUCAGGAGGCUGAGGCAGGAGAAUUGCUUGAACCUGGGAGGCGGAAGUUGCAGUGAGCUGAGAUCACGCCACUGCACUCCAGCCCAGGUGACAGAGCAAGACUAUGUCUCAA